AAGCGGAGGAUCCGUAGGGGAACCUGCGCAUAUCAAUAAGCGGAGGACUCCGUAGGGGACCCUGUCCCCGGAACCGCGCCCGCCGAAGCGCUCUGUGAACCCUGAUGAAGAUGGGCUGUCUGAGUACUAUGAAAAUUGUCAAAACUUUCAACAAUGGAUCUCUUGGUUCCGGCAUCGAUGAAGAACGCAGCGAAAUGCGAUAAGUAAUGUGAAUUGCAGAAUUCCGUGAAUCAUCGAAUCUUUGAACGCACAUUGCGCCCCCUGGCAUUCCGGGGGGCAUGCCUGUCCGAGCGUCAUUUCUGCCCUCAAGCACGGCUUGUGUGUUGGGUGCGGUCCCCCCGGGGACCUGCCCGAAAGGCAGCGGCGACGUCCGUCUGGUCCUCGAGCGUAUGGGGCUUUGUCACUCGCUCGGGAAGGACUGGCGGGGGUUGGUCACCACCAAAAUUUUACCACGGUUGACCUCGGAUCAGGUAGGAGUUACCCGCUGAACUUAAGCAUAUCAAUAAGCGG
rnacentral:rRNA from 1 species